UGUUUGUUUGUUUUUAAAUUUGGGUAGCA
rnacentral:piRNA from 1 species